UACGUAGGGUGCGAGCGUUGUCCGGAAUUAUUGGGCGUAAAGAGCUCGUAGGCGGUUUGUCGCGUCGACUGUGAAAAUCCAGGGCUUAACCCUGGACCUGCAGUGGGUACGGGCAGACUAGAGUGCGGUAGGGAGAUCGGAAUUCCUGGUGUAGCGGUGAAAUGCGCAGAUAUCAGGAGGAACACCGAUUGCGAAGGCAGCUCGCUGGGACGUGACUGACGCUGAGACGCGAAAGCGUGGGAGCAACAGG
rnacentral:rRNA from 1 species